rnacentral:rRNA from 1 species
UACGUAGGGGGCAAGCGUUGUCCGGAAUUAUUGGGCGUAAAGGGCACGCAGGCGGUCUUCUAAGUCUGAUGUGAAAUCCCACGGCUUAACCGUGGAGGGUCAUUGGAAACUGGAGGACUUGAGUGCAGAAGAGGAGAGUGGAAUUCCACGUGGAGCGGUGAAAUGCGUAGAUAUGUGGAGGAACACCAGUGGCGAAGGCGACUCUCUGGUCUGUAACUGACGCUGAGGUGCGAAAGCGUGGGUAGCGAACAGG